ACUAUAAUAAUCCAUUCCCAAACAAUCUUUUGUUGCUGUUCCUUCUACCGACUGCUAAAGCCAUGGCGGUCGUCAACAGCGCUUCAAGCUUAGCACUCCAUCGGCCCAUGUUAGCACCACCUCUAUCUGUAAACCCUAACCGCAGUUCAACCUCCUUCUCUCCCAAAUCAACUCUCUCCUGCAACUUCCUCACUCCCUUCCCCCACGGCAGCGUCUCCGCUGACUUCUCUGGCCACAAGCUCCGUCCCUUGUCUCUCAAUCCGGCGUCGUUUCCUCGCUCCAAGGGUAAGCGAGGCGUCGUCACUAUGGUUAUUCCAUUUUCAAGGGGAAGUGCAUGGGAGCAACCUCCUCCAGAUUUGGCAUCUUACUUGUACAAGAACCGGAUUGUUUACUUGGGCAUGUCCCUUGUACCUUCUGUCACAGAGUUGAUACUGGCAGAAUUCUUGUACCUUCAGUAUGAAGAUGUUGACAAGCCUAUCUAUCUAUACAUAAACUCCACUGGAACAACCAAGGGUGGCGAGAAGUUGGGUUACGAGACUGAGGCUUUUGCGAUUUAUGAUGUUAUGAGGUAUGUCAAGCCACCUAUAUUUACUCUCUGUGUUGGUAAUGCCUGGGGAGAAGCAGCUUUACUUUUGGCUGCUGGUGCCAAGGGGAACCGUUCUGCUUUGCCCUCGUCAACAAUCAUGAUAAAGCAGCCAAUUGCCAGGUUCCAAGGUCAAGCAACUGACAUUGACCUCGCAAGGAAAGAAGUAAAAAAUGUCAAGGCAGAGUUGGUUAAUCUCCUUGCAAAGCAUGUUGGAAAAUCGCCUGAACAGAUUGAAGAUGACAUCAGGCGCCCAAAAUAUUUUAGUCCCAGUGAAGCAGUGGAAUACGGCAUCAUUGAUAAGGUACUAUACAAUGAAAGGAGUUCUGAAGACCGGGGAGUUGUCUCGGACCUGAAAAAGGCACAACUAAUUUGACUCUCACAAAGCAUGGAUUUGUUAUUGUGUGGAAUAUUGAGGUUGUCAUAUGGAACAAGGGGUAACAACUAUGUUGUGAUAUCAUGGCAUAGACAGGAUGGUUUCUCAGCUUCUCUAAUAUGUUUAUAUCGAAGCAUACAAAAAUUAGGUUCUAGAUAGGAGGAGCAAGUUGCUCGGAAUGCGAAGAAAAAGGCCAAGCAUAAAGCAGCUAGUAGCAACACCCAUGGAAAUCACUCAACCACUGGCAGUGUAAAUUAUAUGAACACCUAAGUACCAUUGGUAUUCCUGUCUGAUCAUAUAUCCAUGUUGAUGUCAAGCAUUGUAGCUCAAGCUUGUCUGUGUACAAACGAGUUUUCAUUGUACUUUUCGCAUUGUUUCCCGGUUAAUAUAUUUUGGCGAAGAAAAAGAACGGUACUUUUUGGGGCUUUGCCCUUCAGUUUUGAAUAGGUUUAGUUUGGCGGUAAAGCUAGCCGAAUAGAACUAUAUGGUAAUCUUACAUUUAAGAGAAAUGUUCAUCAUCAUAGAUACAUUUGUUGAUAUGACA